AAACGACUCUCGGCAACGGAUAUCUCGGCUCACGCAUCGAUGAAGAACGUAGCAAAAUGCGAUACUUGGUGUGAAUUGCAGAAUCCCGUGAACCAUCGAGUUUUUGAACGCAACUUGCGCCCGAAGCCAUUCGGCCGAGGGCACGUCUGCCUGGGCGUCACGCA
rnacentral:rRNA from 1 species